AACGAACGCUGGCGGCAGGCUUAACACAUGCAAGUCGAACGCCCCGCAAGGGGAGUGGCAGACGGGUGAGUAACGCGUGGGAACGUGCCCUUCGCUUCGGAAUAGUCCCGGGAAACUGGG
rnacentral:rRNA from 1 species